AUAAAAAGUGCUGAACUUGGUGAAAUAUGCAAAUGUACGACUAUAGUGUGUAGACUCCUUAAUGACACUCAAACUUACAAGAAAGAAAAAGAAGAGAGGUCAAGUAACAUAGUCAACAUACUCGUAACACAAAGUGAAGGAACGGUUUCGGAAGAAGAGGCAGUAGAAGAGGUAAAAGAAAUGCUGGAGAAGAACAGAAGAAAAUUGCUGAGAAUGGUGCUUCAUAAGAAAGAAAGCAGUCAGUUGCCGCAAGUAUGCAAAGAUCUGUUUUGGAACACGAGCAAAGUAGCUCAUAUUCUAUACUCAAACGGCAAUGAGUUUCGCUCUCCAGAGGGACUCAAGAGUAAUAUAAACACAUUAUUUUACAAACCAGUCGACCUAUCCCCAACACAAGCCUAGAGUCUCGCCAAAUAGCCAGUGCUGAAACCCCAAGCAGAUUUUAAUGAGUUUUGUUGUUCUUAAACUGAAUGUUAGCUUAUCCUGAUGCUAUAUAUCUCUAUGACCAAUUGUGUUCAUUGAUCACAGAGCAUUUGGAAAAUUUCCUUUUGUCUUCUAUACUUCAACUUAUUGUUAGUUAUGUUGUAAAAUGUAGUGAGACCUUCAGUUAGAUUGUUGAAAUAAUUAGAGUUAUAUUUGGAAUGUUUUCAAAGUUUGAUUUGCCAUUUGUUAGUCAA